rnacentral:lncRNA from 1 species
ACUAAGUCUAGCCACCCUUUGAUUUUGUAAAUGGAUGUUCAUUGGCUCAGUCACACCUGUUGAUUUGUCAAUCAAAUUGAUUUGUCAUCGUCUGUGGCUGUUCCCUUGCUACAACUUCAUAGUUGAGUUGUUUUGAUUCAGACUUUAUCCACAAAAACUAAAAUAUUGUCUGUAACUUUACAAAAAAAAAAAAAGUGUCCUGAUCCUUGACUUAUAUUCUACUUAAGAGCUUACAAAGAGUUUUCACCAGAAAGAUCCACUUUAGUCCUCACUGUCCCGUGACAGAAAGCUGGCCUUAUUACUCAUCCCAGUGUAUGGAUGUGUAAAUGGAUCUCUUCCAGGUUAAAUUGUUGUCCAAGAUCAUGCUUAGGUUCUGUGAGGAGGAGCUGGAUUUUUUUUUUCUUUUUAGAGCCACUCCCCUGUCAUGUGGAGGUUCCCAGGCUAGGUGUUGAAUCAGAGCUGUAGCUGCCUGCCUACACCACAGCCACAGCAAUGCCAGGUCUGAGCAGCAUCUGAAACCUACACCACAGCUCAUGGCACCACCAGAUCCUUAACCCACUAAGCGAGGUCAGGAAUCAAACCUGCGUCUUCACAGAUGCUAGUCAGAUUCAUUUCUGCUGAGCCAUGAUAGGAACUCCUGAAGUUUGAAUUUAGCUCUUUAUAUCUGAAAUCUGAUGUUUUAUACUUUCUAGAUGCAAAAGGCUACUAUAUUUGCCCCUUCUUUUGUCUUUUCUUACCAACCAAAUUCUCCCCAUAAGCUCCUUCCCUUUAGUAACUUGAGUGACGUGAUUGAUGCUGAUGAUGACAUAAGCAAGUAGACCCCAUCCUGUAUCACAUGUAUAUAGAUAUAAAAUAUGGAGGCCACCAGUUUUUGCUAAAUCGAGUACUAGGCAUAUAGAGAGUUGACAACACUAAAAAUAGAUGCCAGCUGAGUUAAUCUUUCUUCAGUGAUUCAGAAACUUGAGGCAUUUUCAGAAAUACCUGAGAGUCAUCAUAUGAGAAUCUAUUAAUUUAUCAUGUCCCAGAAUUACAGGUGUGGGAGAUUGUUCUGAAUCCCCACAGACCUUGCGAAGGCUCUGAAAAAUGACUUAGAAUAUAAUCCCCCUCUGUUGUAAAUUUAUUAAUAUUCCACUUGCUUUUCUCUCAGAAUGGCAGAAAAGGAAAAAUAAUGUGCACAUUUGAGUUUUUGAGAUGUUUGUAUCCUGAUAAGUAAAAAUGUACUGGAGAUUUCAUCAUAAACAUUAAAAUAAAACUCUUGGAGAAACACACAGAGAUCUGUACAUAAAUAAUAGCUGCUCAUGCCAACCAAUAUUUUUAAAACUCACUAUUAAAUUUGAACCUCAUGUUAGAUAUGGGGGAUUAAGCUAACGAUCAUAUUUACUUUAGUAAACUCUUAAAAAAAAAACCUAAUUCAAAGUUUGUUUCUGACCAACUACCUCCUUAAUCCCAUAGCACCUGCCAGAAGACAUCCAAUAACCCACUCUUUAGGUCAGAGAAAAACAUACAAAAGAGAAAGCCUUGGCUGGAAUGACUCAUGUUACAAGCCAGCUGCUUUCCAGAAUCCGUUAAGCUGUAGGGUCCAGAUCUCCUUUUGUGGCUUUCUACAGACUUUAUUUGAACAGAGAAAUUACAACAACCCUGCCCACAUAAAAGCCGAGGAAAGAAACUAGUUGGGGGAGAGAGAGUGCCCAAAUUUUUUACUAUACUUUGAAACAAAAUGGCAAGGGUGUUAGCAAGCAUUCUCUUUGCUUUGCAUUAAUAAAUGUUCCUCUGCUUUUGCUCACAAUUGAGAUGAUGAAACUUGGACAUGAUAGAUUCCAUUUGAUAAUCAGUAGAAAUGCUUUUCCUGAGUCAGUUGACUGUCAAGGGCCCUGAAACCUCAUCUGGCAUUUUUGGUUAAUGCAGUUUGACCAUCUAUCUUCCUUGGCUUCCUUUGACCAAUGCCAAGUUGUUAUGAGUUCUUUUCUGUUUCAAUCCAUUGAGGGAUCUACUUAACCCAACACAUGACCAUUUUUUUGACCAGUGAGAAGCAGUGUCUAGGUCAGACAUUGAUUUCCUCCCAAGUGACAACUCGCGAAUCAGUAGUCAUCAUCUCAGUACCUCAGACCUGGGGAAGGACGAGGAUUUUCAGCAGAAGAGUUGCCAAGCCAACUGGUUGUAUGUGCUGUAGCCAGGAAUGGCGGUGAGGCCUGAGAAAGUGAAGUAUUUCCACCAUUUCUGAACUAUACAGUAACCUAAGAUUGCUUCCUGGGUAGGACUCUGUGCAUGUGUGUACAUACAUGUGCGUGUGUGCGCAUGGGUGUGCAUGUGUGUGUGUGCACUCUAUUCAGGAUGAUGCGGCUUCCAUUUUUUCACCAUCUAGUCAAUAGAUGAUGAAUCAAUCAUCUAUUGAUUCCUUUAACAAAUUUUAUUGACCAUCACUUUCUACCUCUCUACCAGGAAGUAUUCCAGAGAUUGAGAGUGGAAAGAAAUCCAAGAUAAAUCAGAUAAAGACAUUCUCAUAAACAAAGCCUGUGCCUUUCUGUGACAAGUAUAGUAGGAAUGCACAAAAUACCUGAAUUGUGAGCGUUUGGGGCCUCUGCUUAUUUAAACAUUAACAUGGGAAAGAUGAUGAAAAGGAGAUGAAUGAGUAGAUUAAAUUUCUAGCAGUGGUUAUCAGCAUCCCCAAAUCUAUGGUAUUGAGUAUAUUUGCCUAAAACUGUUUUCUUAAAGUUUAUGGAGUCAUAAUGCCUUACUAUUGGCCUAAAUGUAGGGAGAAAAAAAGACUUGAAACCAGAACAUGCAAUAUGAUUUUCAUAUGCCCCAAAGCCAGAGUUGAAACAGAUUCCAACUUAAUAUCACCAAGCAAUAUUCAGGCUAUCCCAGACAAUUCUAACAUAGAAUCUCAUUCUUGACAUCAUCUCUUAAUGAAACUCUGUGAACACUCAUGAGAGAUUUCAUCUAGAAUAUUUAUCUGAGAAUGUGGUUUGGCUAACACAGCUUUAGCAUGCUGCUCCUUACGUAUGGGAGCAGCACACGCUCAUAUGCUCAUUUUUUGCAUGUGAGGAAAAUGAAACAUGGGAAUGUUAAACUAAUUUGGCCAUGGUUCACAUUUAGUUAGUGUCAAAUUUUUAAUCCAAUUUGGAAAAUAAGAACCUAGGGAAAGCCAUUCUUGAAGCAUUUAGCUUCUACUUUCUUUUUUAUUUAUUUUAUUUUUUAAAUUAAAGUUUGCUAAUUUACAUGUUCCUUCCUGUUGCACAGCAAAGUGACCCAAUUACACACAGUUCCCUGUGCUGUACAGUAGGAUGCCAGCGCCCAUUGAUUCCAAAUGUAAUAGUUUGCAUCCACCAACCCCAAACUCCUCAUCCAUCCUACUCCUACCCCCUCCCCUUGCCAACCACAAGUCUGCUCUCCUUGGCUGUGAUCUGUUUCUAUUUUAUAGAUAGGAUCAUUUGUCCUAUAUUUUAGAUUAUUUUGUGUUUCUGCUGUCGAUGUAGGCUGGAAGCAGAGUUGAGCAGAACCAGCUCUAAUCAGCCCAGGUGGCACUGCAUUUAGUGGAGAGUGUCCAUUGCCCUCCAGCUUGUCUAGACCAAUGGAAGGAUUGGUCUCCCUAAUUUUUUAGUAUUCAGGUCUCUUGUAUGCUGGCAUGUAAAUAUAUCACUUUCCAGGCAUGUAUUAAUACAAUGAAAUGUAAUUAAUGCUAACAUUGCAUUGAUCAGGACAUCAUUUUCCUUGAAGAAUCAGCCCAAGCUUCAUGGUCUUGCACCCCAAAAUCUUAUCACAGUGGUGAACAACACACAGUUGAUUUAUGCAAAAGUGUCACUUCUUCCCUGUGGAUUGACUGCUGGAUGGCAGUGAAGACACUGAGACAGUUUUAUUUCAGUCAUCAGCAUCACAACAAUUUCACAGGGCCAGUCUGGGUUUUUCAAAACAAGUGACCCAGGAGAGAAAUUUACCUUUACAUCGACUUUCACCAACAACUGUUUGUGAGACUUCAAGAAUAAAAUGCAUCAUGGAAAUAAAACGCAUCAUCUACCUAGAGGAGUUGGUCCAGAGUUAAAAGAUGCAGUAGGAUUUCCCUUCUGGUGGAUCGUAUUUCCCUUUGACGCGGUUCUAAAUUCUUUGGGGCCAACAGGGAGACCACCGAUAAUUGCCUGUAAUUCAACACACACACGACCAGCUCUCCAGAAAGCCAAGCAUCAGCUUCUCUAUUACAGUUAGGGGCCUCACAUUUGGGUUUGGUCUUUUCUUUUUCCCCUUGGAUCCAUGGCUCUUUUCAUGCAAGGUCCUGUUUGACAUCCUAAUAUAAGUGUAAUUUCAUCUUUCUCCAGAAACCUUCAUUUUCACGGCCUCUAAUGACCAUUCCAUAAUCAGUGUGGUUAGAGGAACUGAAUUCACCUCUAGGCACCUGUCAUGUUUGUAAUGAAGGAAGAGAAAGUGUAAGUGUUGGAAUAAAUGCUUUUUGAAGCACACCCUAGGCGCACUACUUUUGAAGUUUGAUCUCGAUAGUAAAUAUUCUUGGAGUGCACAUUCAACACAUAUUCUGACAUAGCAAAAUUAGAAAAUCUGCUUAGAAAGAGGUGCACAACCUAAUUUUUCCCCUUUUUAUCUUAAAUGCCUCUUCAGUCUGGCCCUUCCUCAUCUGUUCUCAAGGAAUUCUGCCAGGGCAUAGCUGAGAUAAAUCUGGCUGGAGAUCCCUCCAAAGAUUAUGCUAAACUCACCUUUGUCAUUGAUUCAGCUCAUCCUCAUGCACUGAGCAUCUUUCAAAGGACUGUUGGAAAUUGGGGCUCAUUGUCAUGGGAAGGAAAAGUCAGAAGAUGAAUAACUUAAAUAUUAAAGAAGUCUACCUCUAGUUGGGAAAGGAAAAAUCCACAUAUAUGAUGCUUUCAUGGGACCACUGUGAAUGCGCUAUUAUGGCGCCAUGAGGAAUUAGGAGGUAGAUCAGUUCUAUGGCUGGGAAAACUUUUGGCAAAUGUGGAUUUUUAACUUCACCCUUGAGUUCCAUAGAACUCCCCAAAGCAGAGGAGGCAGUGAAGAUGACUUUGACAACAAGAAGCAGCACAACUUAAAGACUUAGAAGUGAAAGGUACCGGGCAAGUUCAUGUAAAAGAACGUGAUCUAGUGGUGGUGGGAGCAGGGUAAGAGGGAGGAGCAGGGAGAAUAACAGGGAACCAAGCUGGAGCCAUAAAAUGGGGUUGGGCUCUCAGGGCUUUGAAUGUUGGAACGAAGAGCUUGGACACAAUGAAAGGCCAAGAACCUUUUUUAAGUUGAGGUCUGAAAUAGUUCUGGAUUGUAGCAAGACCUUGCCGACGUUGCUUGGAGAAUGUUCAGGAAGGGUUAGAGGAUCCGUUUGAAUGAUGUUGAAACAACAUCAUUAUAUUAUUAUAUUUGUAUCUAUAUUAAUAUGCAUUGUUGAAGAAGAAAAAUGCCUGAGCAGGGAGGUCCCUUCGUGACUCAGCGGUUAACAAACCUGACUAGGAUCCAUGAGGAUGCGAGUUCAAUCCCUGACCUCACUCUGUGGCUUAAGGAUCCGAUGUUGCCAUGAGCUGUGGUAUAGGUCGCAAACGCAGCAGCUUGAUCCUGAGUUGCUGUGGCUGUGAUGUAGGCUGGCAGCUGUAGCUCUGAUUUGACCCUGAGCCUGGGAACCUCCAUAUGCUGUGGGUGUGGCCCUAAAAAGC